CCCGCGCUCCUCCGGGCAGAGCGCGUGUGGCGGCCGAGCACAUGGGCCCGCGGGCCGGGCGGGCUCGGGGCGGCCGGGACGAGGAGGGGCGACGACGAGCUGCGAGCAAAGAUGUGCCCCGGGACCCCCGGCACCUUCCAGUGGAUUUCCUUGCGGAAAGGAUGUUGGCGGUCCCUGUGACCUGUGGAGACACGGCCAGAUCUGCCCUCCAGCCUGAUCUUUUGGCCAGAAGGAGAUUAAAAAGAUGCCCCUCAAGAUGGCUGUGCCUGUCAGCUGCAUGGAGCUUCGUUCAAGUAUUUUCUGAGCCUGAUGGAUUUACAGUGAUCUUCAGUGGUCUGGGGAAUAACGCUGGUGGAACCAUGCACUGGAAUGACACACGCCCGGCACAUUUCAGGAUACUAAAAGUGGUUUUAAGGGAGGCUGUGGCUGAAUGCCUCAUGGAUUCUUACAGCUUGGAUGUCCAUGGGGGACGAAGGACUGCAGCUGGCUGAGAGGGUUGAGAUCUCUGUUUACUUAGAUCUCUGCCAACUUCCUUUGGGUCUCCCUAUGGAAUGUAAGACCCCGACUCUUCCUGGUGAAGCAUCUGAUGCACGUUCCAUCCGGCGCUCAGCUGGGCUUGAGCUGACCAUACUCCCUGGAGCCUUCUCCCGAGGUGCGCGGGUGACCUUGGCACAUACAGCCAUCAUGAUGGUACUUUAAGUGGAGGCUGAAUCAUCUCCCCUUUGAGCUGCUUGGCACGUGGCUCCCUUGGUGUUCCCCUUUUACUGCCAGGACACUGAGAUUUGGAGAGAAUCCUGUUACACCUGGGAUUUAGGCACUUUCAAUCUGAAAAAAUACAUAUCCUUUCAGCACUCUGGACGGACUUGAGAACUGUCCUUACGUGACCUAAAGCUGGAGUAUUUUGAGAUUGGAGAAUUAAGGCCAACAGAGAUUUUGAGAAACACAUUGAAGGAUCUGUUAACACUUGAUAUACCCAAUAAAAGCAGUGGUUGUGCCAGUGCUGAUCUGUCUUGAUGUGAAUGUGAACAAUGGGAACCUGAGCUGAGCAGUUAAUGCUAGGGUGACAGAAACUGGACCUCUCCCAAGACAUGUGACAGAGUAAUACAGCAGCCAACUUCUUCGCCAAAUUAAAGUUUUACAAGAUUUAACCUGUCAUCAAGACCUGGGAUUUUGGUGAGCCAGUCUUGGUGCUCUGUGUUCACCUGGUUCAUCUGAGGAGCUGCAUCUACCCUGCCCAUGCCAUAGAUCCUGCCCUGUUUGCUUCUCCUGUUGCUGCUAGUGGACAUGAGCAAAACUUUGUGGUUUCUGCUCUGAAUGUCAGGGUAACCCUGUCUGAGGAUGAUCACGGAUUUCAUUUUCCCUUGUUUGUUAGCGUUGCGGUCAGCCGCAAGUUGAAAACAAGGAACCAGCUUGAGAAGGACAGAAUAACGGGCUCCCAGAUUCACAAGCCCCACCAAGAGGAUCACCCCAGGAACGCUUGGAGGCUGAGGAGUUCACUGAGGCUACUGCAUCUUGAGACUCAGGAUGAAGACCCAGCUUGGGGCUGUCAAAGGUUUUUUGCAUGUCUGACACCCAUGACUCCACCUGGACCUUAUGGCUCCACCCAGAAGCAAUUCAGCCCAACAGGAGGACAGCUUCAACCCAUUACGAUUUCAUCUCUGCCCCAACCACUCAGCAGCAAGCACCUGUUACCUGUCCACCCCCACCCCUUCCCCCAAACUGCCUUUGAAAAAUCCCUAACCUAUGAGCUUUGAAUAAGAUGAGUACGAACUUCAUCGCCCACGUGGCGUGGCCGGCCUCGUGUCUAUUAAAUUCUUUUUCUACUACAA
rnacentral:lncRNA from 1 species